UACGUAGGGACCAAGCGUUGUUCGGAUUUACUGGGCGUAAAGGGCGCGUAGGCGGCGUGGUAAGUCACUUGUGAAAUCUCUGAGCUUAACUCAGAACGGCCAAGUGAUACUGCUGUGCUAGAGUGCAGAAGGGGCAAUCGGAAUUCUUGGUGUAGCGGUGAAAUGCGUAGAUAUCAAGGGGAACACCUGAGGUGAAGACGGGUUGCCGGGCUGACACUGACGCUGAGGCGCGAAAGCCAGGGGAGCAAACGGG
rnacentral:rRNA from 1 species